rnacentral:rRNA from 1 species
AUUGAACGCUGGCGGCAGGCCUAACACAUGCAAGUCGAGCGAGCGGCGGACGGGUGAGUACUGUAUGGGGACUGCCCGAUAGAGGGGGAUAACUACUGGAUACGGUAGCUAAUACCGCAUACUAUCGGAUAACCCAUAUGGGAUUAGCUAGUAGGUGAGGUAAUGGCCCACCUAGGCGACGAUCCCUAGCUGGGCUGAGAGGUGGAUCAGCCACACUGGGACUGAGACACGGCCCAGACUCCUACGGAGGCAGCAGUGGGGAAUAUUGGGCAAGGGGAGAAAGCCUGAUGCAGCCAUGCCGCGUGUAUGAAGAAGGUUUUAGGGUUGUAAAAUACUGUCAGUAGGGAGGCGUUACCGACAGAAGAAGCACCGGCUAACUCCGUGCCAGCAGCCGCGGUAAUUC